rnacentral:rRNA from 1 species
GAUGAACGCUGGCGGCGUGCCUAAUACAUGCAAGUCGAGCGAACGGACGAGAAGCUUGCUUUUCUGAUGUUAGCGGCGGACGGGUGAGUAACACGUGGAUAACCUACCUAUAAGACUGGGAUAACUUCGGGUAACCGGAGCUAAUACCGGAUAAUAUUUUGAACCGCAUGGUUCAAAAGUGAAAGACGGUCUUGCUGUCACUUAUAGAUGGAUCCGCGCUGCAUUAGCUAGUUGGUAAGGUAACGGCUUACCAAGGCAACGAUGCAUAGCCGACCUGAGAGGGUGAUCGGCCACACUGGAACUGAGACACGGUCCAGACUCCUACGGGAGGCAGCAGUAGGGAAUCUUCCGCAAUGGGCGAAAGCCUGACGGAGCAACGCCGCGUGAGUGAUGAAGGUCUUCGGAUCGUAAAACUCUGUUAUUAGGGAAGAACAUAUGUGUAAGUAACUGUGCACAUCUUGACGGUACCUAAUCAGAAAGCCACGGCUAACUACGCG